UAUUUCUCUAAUGACAAAGAUGAAGAACGCAAAAUAAGAUGUCUUUUAAACAAAACGCAAGUGAAAUUUCCGCUACCGCCGCCACUGCUUUGGCCACGGCAGUGGCGUGCACGAAACCAUUAUCGCAGGAUAGCAGCUAAGCAUACACACACGUGAUAAACCCUACGUGUUUUCUAUUGCAUUCUUCUCAAUAAACGAAUGUCCUGAUUGAAUUCCUCUCAUUAUCAUUUCAAAUCCUCAUAAAAUCCUUCGCCACCUCUCGUCCACAACUCUAUUGCACGACUGUACCUCGGCGUCCAGAGGCAUUUUUGAGGUUAGCAUUCGGCCGCCAAAUUUAAAAGAUCGAUCCUAACAUUUUAUUUUCGGAGAGCAAACCGCCGCCUCAUUCGAAACAGGAUGAAGAGAGAAAGAGCGACGCUUCAACGUGAGGCUGUUGCCUGAAGUUGGAACACACAUAAACUUGUUUUCGUCCGGUUCUUUUCGGAAAAAUCCGUCAUUAAACGAAGUGCAAUUUUUAAACAUUUGUUAAUUGAACCGCCAAGAGUACAAAGGGCCGAUCGCCCAAAACCCUAAACGCUGAGAGAGGCCUCGCUAAAUUAUUCCUAUUAUUUGAUUUGAAUAUGUGACGUAUGCGCAUAACUGACGAAUCCUGGAGAAGCGUCGACUGAAAAUUGACCAAACCGCAAACGGGCAUCAUCCCGAAACAGACACGUCAACGCGGCAUCAUGCCCGAGAUGCGAUAAUCAAGGUGGCGGUGCCGCUCGCUUUUGUUUGAUUCUCGGCCAACGUGAUGACCGCUUCCUGCGCCGCCUGCGACGGGCCAUCAAUUGCGAAAUGAAAUAUGUCGCGGGAUAUUUUGCUUUAUAUACGCGCAAAUUUUGAUUAUCUUAUUUCCAUUAUUAUGCUUGAAAUACAGAGUAGAAGUUUCGAAAUUAUCCAUUCCAUGGUUAUAUGUAACUAGAAGAGUCGGCCGUUUCGGUACUCGCCUCCGGUUGCUUUGUUUCUCGAAUGGUGGGGGGCAGUAACAGUCUGGCCAACUGUAGGAGAGAAAUAGACUGGAGGGUCGGUGCCGUAGCUUUCCGUGAAAGCAGUACACUGUAGCCUAGCUACUCGCACUGAAAUGGUGACGUCAGUAGAAAGAGACGCUCGGACGGCUCCCCGGCGAGUGGGAGAGAGACGGGGAUAAAAGAAACUUAUUAGGGGAGGGAGAGCCAAGCGACCCAACCUAACCAUACUCCAGCCGGUUCGCCAAGCUGUUCGAAUGCCGGAAUAGAGAGAGAAGGACUAUGUUUUAUGCAUGGCAGUGAAUUGCGGACCGGUCCACAACGGCUGAGUCACAGUAAUUGAUAAUAACUUAGGCAUUGCUCGCUGUAUUUUCAGCAUUGAUUGACGAACUGUCGGAGGAUCAGCAUCGGCACUCUUCAGCGUGGCGCUCCUGAAAGGAUGACGCCCGCUUGGUUUUCGGGUGUCUGGAUGCAGGACAAUAGCAUUGAUAAUGCAAACGUGUCGAUAUCGGCGGCUGUUUUUUUCUUACUUUUACACAAACGGGGAAAUUUCAUGAGUCGGGGGCUCAUUAAGGCCGGGCCGAAGUUUUUCAGCAUGUGACAAUAUGCUAAGGCCUGGACACAGGAUGAUUAUGCGGGCAGGACUACAGGAUACAACAUUCCAUUAGUCAUUAGCGAAUUCAUGUUCGCUGGCGUCAAUGAGCGUCAUCGCGUCGCAUUGAAGUUACCAGGAAAAAAGCACGCUCUAAUGCAAAAAUCGGGGGAAAUUGUUUUAUAAUAAAAUGCAUCAAUGUGUGCCGUGCUGCACUUCCGUCUUUGUGUAAUUAGUGUUGACAUGUCGGUAUGGAAAAUCAGAAACAUCGUUUUAAUAAAAUAUUAAACAUAUUUUUUUCUCCUCUAUGAUCUAUGUAUUUAUUCAUCGUGAAAUUUUAUUUAUUAAAAGACCCACUCAACUUAUUGAUGGUCUGAGAAUUACCCUAAGCUUAUUGACACCCUGAGUUGCGGUAAAAUUAUUAUAGGUUAUUGGGAUUUACAAUGGUGACAAAGAAGUGCCUAAACUACAAGUUUUUCAAUGAAAUACUAAAUGAAUACAGUAUUAAAAUUUUGGUCUGGCAUAAGCCGAUUUUGGUCAAAAUAAUAUCCAUUAAAGAACAUCCGACAAAAUGUUGUUGCUAUGCGAAAACACAGUUUGAA